rnacentral:rRNA from 1 species
UACGUAGGGUGCGAGCGUUGUCCGGAAUUAUUGGGCGUAAAGGGCUCGUAGGCGGUUUGUCGCGUCGGGAGUGAAAACACCGGGCUUAACUCGGUGCUUGCUUUCGAUACGGGCAGACUAGAGGUAUGCAGGGGAGAACGGAAUUCCUGGUGUAGCGGUGAAAUGCGCAGAUAUCAGGAGGAACACCGGUUGCGAAGGCGGUUCUCUGGGCAUUACCUGACGCUGAGGAGCGAAAGUGUGGGGAGCGAACAGG